UACGUAGGGGGCUAGCGUUGUCCGGAAUCAUUGGGCGUAAAGGGCGCGUAGGCGGCCAGAUAAGUCCGGUGUGAAAGUCAAAGGCUCAACCUUUGAAUGCCGCUGGAAACUGUCUGGCUAGAGUCCGGGAGGGGCGAGUGGAAUUCCUGGUGUAGCGGUGAAAUGCGUAGAUAUCAGGAAGAACACCCGUGGCGAAGGCGGCUCCUCGUGGGACGGUACUGACGCUGAGAGCGAAAGCGUGGGGAGCGAACAGG
rnacentral:rRNA from 1 species